UAUUUAAAAAACAUGAGUUUGGAAUGCUGGAUCUCAUCUAAUCUCAAAAGCUAAGCAGGGUUUGGCUCGGUUUGUAGAUGGGAGACUGCCUGGGAAUACCAGGUGCUUUAUCUUC
ensembl:rRNA 5S_rRNA 5S ribosomal RNA